AACGAACGCUGGCGGCAUGCCUAACACAUGCCAGUCGAACGAGACCUUCGGGUCUAGUGGCGCACGGGUGCGUAACGCGUGGGAACCUGCACUUAGGUUCGGAAUAACUCCCCGAAAGGGGUGCUAAUACCGGAUAAUGUCUUCGAACCAAAGAUUUAUCGCGUUUGGAUGGGCCCGCGUUGGAUUAGCUAGUUGGUAGGGUAAAAGCCUACCAAGGCGACGAUCCAUAGCUGGUCUGAGAGGAUGAUCAGCCACACUGGGACGGAGACACGGCCCAGACUCCUACGGGAGGCAGCAGUGGGGAAUAUUGGAAAAUGGGCGAAAGCCUGAACCAGCAAUGCCGCGUGAGUGAUGAAGGCCGUAGGGUUGUAAAGCUCUUUUACCCGGGAUGAUAAUGACAGUACCGGGAGAAUAAGCUCCGGCUAACUCCGUG
rnacentral:rRNA from 1 species